rnacentral:tRNA from 3 species
UGGUGCGUUAGUUCAGUUGGUUAGAAUACAUGCCUGUCACGCAUGGGGUCACGGGUUCGAGUCCCGUACGCACCGCUUC